rnacentral:rRNA from 1 species
AUUGAACGCUGGCGGCAGGCCUAACACAUGCAAGUCGAACGAGUGGCGGACGGGUGAGUAAUGUCUGGGAAACUGCCUGAUGGAGGGGGAUAACUACUGGAAACGGUAGCUAAUACCGCAUACCAUCAGAUGUGCCCAGAUGGGAUUAGCUCGUGGGUGGGGGAACGGCUCAACAAGGCGAUGAGACCUAGCUGGUCUGAGAGGAUGAACAUCCACACUGGAACUGAGACACGGUCCAGACUCCUACGUGAGGCAGCAGUGGGGAAGAUUGCACAAUGGGCGCAAGCCUGAUGCAGCCAUGCCGCGUGUAUGAAGAAGGCCUUCGGGUUGUAAAGUACUGUCAGCGGGGAGGCGUUACCCGCAGAAGAAGCACCGGCUAACUCCGUGCCAGCAGCCGCGGUAAUAC